UACGAAGGGUGCAAGCGUUACUCGGAAUUACUGGGCGUAAAGGGUGCGUAGGUGGUUUGUUAAGUCUGCUGUGAAAUCCCCGGGCUCAACCUGGGAAUGGCAGUGGAUACUGGCAAGCUAGAGUGCGGUAGAGGGUAGUGGAAUUCCCGGUGUAGCAGUGAAAUGCGUAGAGAUCGGGAGGAACAUCUGUGGCGAAGGCGGCCACCUGGACCAACACUGACACUGAGGCACGAAAGCGUGGGGAGCAAACAGG
rnacentral:rRNA from 1 species